CAAGCGGGGAUUCAUUGUUUCAUCGUCGAUUACAACAAGCGUUGUGUUAAAUUGGAUUCGUUAAAUUAAUUUCGCAAAACGAAAAUGUGCAUGGGUUCUACACUGGACGGAGACAAAUGUAUUUUGGACGAUUCAAUGGUUCCAGAUAAAAUCAUGUUCGAGGACAACCGAAAGAUUGAGAUGGAGAAUAUGGAGAUCCAAAGUUAACAAGAACCCUCCAAGAAAAAAUGUCUGAAUGGCGUACUGUAUUCAAGUGUUGUUCGUUUCUAUUCAUAUAGGUUGCACUAUAUACAUUUUGUCUCAAAGGACUAUUAUGCAGCUUAAAAAAGCCAACAUGCACGUAGACUGGUAUGUGCUGCAAUGACAAACAAAAAAUAUACAGUAUCUGCUAGUUGAAUACCCAGAUAUCCAGUCAGCAGCUGUAAAAACCAAGAUGACUAGAAUAUGUGAAGAUACAAGGCGCGCCAUGUCAAGGGGAAUGGAUACAGCAGCUAAUGUUUAACAACAGGCGCUUAAUGUGCAGUAUUUUUUUUAAUUUUAAAUUGUAACUGUAAUUAUCUUUGCUAAAGGUAACUUAGCAAAGUGUUGUAAUUUAAUUUUUAAAAUAAAAAAAAAUAAAAAACAGACCAUAUACUCCUAAACACAAUGUAAUGUGGACCAAUUUUAUGCAUAAAUUGUAAUUGCAAUGAACCUGUCAAAAACUGGAUGCAUUUUAUGCAACCUAAAUACUCUAGUGUGGUUUUAUAUUACUAGUUUAUUCACAAUAAUGCAAACACAACUUUUAAAAAAGACUAGUUGAUCUAUUUAAUGCGUAAAACACAAGUGAACACAUCUUUAAAGAUGUUGACCAAUUUUACGCAUGAGAAUUCUAUUUGAAAUUAUUAAUCAAUUGCAUACAUAAUUUUGCUAAAUUAUAUAACAAAAUUUUAUUUUUAUUU